UUUAAAUGUAUUUGGCUUAGGUGAAUGUAAACUUCCGACUUCAACUAUAUAUAAGCUGCAGACUCCCAAUCCAAAGGUUGGGUGUUCAAUUCUAGCGCUAGAAAGUUUGUUAUUGUAUUUUAUUAAGCUUUUCCCUUUACUUUACACUAAUCUUAACUAUUCGGAAUUAAUGCCUAAACUUAAGUUUUAGUUUCAUGUUUGCCGAGUUUGACUGAAAGCUAAAAUAUGGCAACAGCUGGUGUAGUUAAAACAUCAAGCCAUGGUGUAAUUCUGCUACUGCAGUUACAGCACAGGUUGGCAUUUUAUUUGAGGAUUAGAUUGUUAUUGUUACAACUGUUUAUAAGGAAAAUACAGACACAUUUUAUAUGUUCAAAUCAUGUUGGAAAUCAAUGAAAGCAUAUUUUGUUGUUGUUGCAAUAUAAAACUGGGAAGAGUCCAA